ACGAUUCCUUCGGGAUGAAGCGUUUGUGACUUAGUGGCGGACGGGUGAGUAACGCGUGGGUAACCUGCCUUAUACAGGGGGAUAACAGUUAGAAAUGACUGCUAAUACCGCAUAAGCGCACAGUCUCGCAUGGGACAGUGUGAAAAACUAAGGUGGUAUAAGAUGGACCCGCGUCUGAUUAGCUAGUUGGUGGGGUAAAGGCCUACCAAGGCGACGAUCAGUAGCCGACCUGAGAGGGUGAUCGGCCACAUUGGGACUGAGACACGGCCCAAACUCC
rnacentral:rRNA from 1 species